AGCUGUGGGUGAACAGGCCUUUUGCUUCUGCCACCUUUGUCAGCUCCACAUGGGAUUCUCAGACAGACACUUACGUGAUCCUCAUGUCUGAACCAAACUUGAGGAUGCCAUUAUUAUGAUGCCGAUCAGUGGUUACAACUGUGGCCGGCCACUGUCCUAACAAGUCAGAAGAGAGAUUCUUUGCCAAAAUCUUCAGGGGAAACGACACGAGUACCCUUUGCUUUUCCUCAACGAACUUUCCUUCUACUUAGGGUUUUAGGGCAUUUGUACAAAUGAUUUGUUCCUUGGGUCUGAAUCUUGGGGAUGUUUAUCAUUUUCGUUGCUUUCAGAAAAUAGUCUGCAUUUCCUUCUAUUACCUGGACCAUUUUCCUGGCUUUUUAAAAAAAAUUAUUAUUCAAAUGGAAAAGCGGCGAGCCCAGAAUGAGCCGACGAAUUGAGCUCUUCCUUCUCUCGAACACGGGGGCACCUCUACCCGCUACAGACUUGAAGAUUUUACUCACUUCCUUUCAUCCCCUCGCUCGGUUUUGGAGGGUAGGGGCAUGAAGUGGUUGAAUCUAAAACUGACAGAAAACCAAA